GAUGAACGCUGGCGGCGUGCUUAACGCAUGCAAGUCGAACGGAAAGGCCCAAGCUUGCUUGGGUGCUCGAGUGGCGAACGGGUGAGUAACACGUGGGUGAUCUGCCCUGCACUUUGGGAUAAGCCUGGGAAACUGGGUCUAAUACCGGAUAGGACCAUCGUUUAGUGUCGGUGGUGGAAAGUUUUUCGGUGUGGGAUGAGCUCGCGGCCUAUCAGCUUGUUGGUGGGGUAAUGGCCUACCAAGGCGUCGACGGGUAGCCGGCCUGAGAGGGUGUACGGCCACAGUGGGACUGAGAUACGGCCCAGACUCCUACGGGAGGCAGCAGUGGGGAAUAUUGCACAAUGGGCGCAAGCCUGAUGCAGCGACGCCGCGUGGGGGAUGACGGCCUUCGGGUUGUAAACUCCUUUCGCCAAGGACGAAGCGUUUUGUGGCGGUACUUGGAGAAGAAGCACCGGCUAACUACGUG
rnacentral:rRNA from 1 species